rnacentral:misc_RNA from 1 species
CUCUGGCCGGGACCAGGGUGCCCGCCGCAGCCCUGGGACCCUGCGGCCCCGGUCCCUAUUCGAGGCCCCAGCCGGAGCGUUCCGGGAUCCUUCGGGGGAGUGCCCAGCCCCGCGCCCCCGCCUCCCACAUGACUCCGGAUGCUGUGUGCUGUGGACCCACCUGGGGUUCAUGGAGUGGGCCACGGGGCCCAGCCCUAAGCACUGCUGCGCCCAGGGUCGCCGCGCCUCCUGCUGAGGGGUCCCCGUGCCACUGGCUCUCACCAUUGCCCUCGCCUGCCGAUGGCCUCUGCUGCCCAGCCUGGGGCCAGCUCUACCGCCUGAGCCCCCUGCCCCACUCCAGGACUCACCGUACCCCGAUGGGGUAACGUGACACAGGCCCCACACGUCAGAGGCCGCUGUCCCCACGGCCACUGCCCGUGACCCCUGGCCCAAGGCAGCUGGAGUUGGUUCAGUUCAAGUUCAUUCUUCCUCUGGCCCUUGGGGGCUUGGGGCCCACCUCUGAGUGAAGGGGGCUGUCUGCCCAUCCACCAAUGUGGAGAGGG